rnacentral:rRNA from 1 species
GUCUUAAUUGGGCGUUAAGUUGCAGGGUAUAGACCCGAAACCCGGUGAUCUAGCCAUGGGCAGGUUGAAGGUUGGGUAACACUAACUGGAGGACCGAACCGACUAAUGUUGAAAAAUUAGCGGAUGACCUGUGGCUGGGGGUGAAAGGCCAAUCAAACCGGGAGAUAGCUGGUUCUCCCCGAAAGCUAUUUAGGUAGCGCCUCGUGAAUUCAUCUCCGGGGGUAGAGCACUGUUUCGGCUAGGGGGCCAUCCCGGCUUACCAACCCGAUGCAAACUGCGAAUACCGGAGAAUGUUAUCACGGGAGACACACGGCGGGUGCUAACGUCCGUCGUGAAGAGGGAAACAACCCAGACCGCCAGCUAAGGUCCCAAAGUCAUGGUUAAGUGGGAAACGAUGUGGGAAGGCCCAGACAGCCAGGAUGUUGGCUUAGAAGCAGCCAUCAUUUAAAGAAAGCGUAAUAGCUCACUGGUCGAGUCGGCCUGCGCGGAAGAUGUAACGGGGCUAAACCAUGCACCGAAGCUGCGGCAGCGACGCUUAUGCGUUGUUGGGUAGGGGAGCGUUCUGUAAGCCUGUGAAGGUGUGUCGUGAGGCAUGCUGGAGGUAUCAGAAGUGCGAAUGCUGACAUAAGUAACGAUAAAGCGGGUGAAAAGCCCGCUCGCCGGAAGACCAAGGGUUCCUGUCCAACGUUAAUCGGGGCAGGGUGAGUCGACCCCUAAGGCGAGGCCGAAAGGCGUAGUCGAUGGGAAACGGGUUAAUAUUCCCGUACUUGGUGUUACUGCGAAGGGGGGACGGAGAAGGCUAUGUUGGCCGGGCGACGGUUGUCCCGGUUUAAGCGUGUAGGUGUGUGUUCCAGGUAAAUCCGGUUCACUUUAACACUGAGGCGUGACGACGAGGCACUACGGUGCUGAAGCAACAAAUGCCCUGCUUCCAGGAAAAGCCUCUAAGCAUCAGGUAACAUCAAAUCGUACCCCAAACCGACACAGGUGGUCAGGUAGAGAAUACCAAGGCGCUUGAGAGAACUCGGGUGAAGGAACUAGGCAAAAUGGUGCCGUAACUUCGGGAGAAGGCACGCUGACACGUAGGUGAAGUGAUUUACUCA